CCUACGGGAGGCAGCAGUGAGGAAUAUUGGUCAAUGGACGAGAGUCUGAACCAGCCAAGUAGCGUGAAGGAUGACUGCCCUAUGGGUUGUAAACUUCUUUUAUAUGGGAAUAAAAUGUUCCACGUGUGGGCUUUUGUAUGUACCAUAUGAAUAAGGAUCGGCUAACUCCGUGCCAGCAGCCGCGGUAAUACGGAGGAUCCGAGCGUUGUCCGGAUGUGUUGGGUUUAAAGGGAGCGUAGGUGGAUUGUUAAGUCAGUUGUGAAAGUUUGCGGCUCAACCGUAAAAUUGCAGUUGAUACUGGCAGUCUUGAGUACAGUAGAGGUGGGCGGAAUUCGUGGUGUAGCGGUGAAAUGCUUAGAUAUCACGAAGAACUCCGAUUGCGAAGGCAGCUCACUGGACUGCAACUGACACUGAGGCUCGAAAGUGUGGGUAUCAAACAGGAUUAGAUACCCUUGUAGUC
rnacentral:rRNA from 1 species